UGAGAAUUCCAGUAACUGUUCUUGAAGAGUCUUAGUGGAGGUGUUUUGGGGUCCCAGAAGGAAUAACAGGUCCCAAACAGAUGGGCUCUUUCUCAGCUUCCGGGAAAACCACCUUUCCUCCUCCACCUCCCAGGCUGGAAGACCAUUGACAGUUGGAGCUUCUCACUCUCUCUGCCCCUCCCCCGCUGCUCUUCAGCUGAUAUCUCCUCUCUUUCUUACAUCACAGAUAGAAGUCAGCCUGGGGAAUCAAUGGACUUGCUGACCUGAGAUAUUGGCUUUGUGACCUUGGAGAAAGGUGAGGAUCAAGCUUCUCAUCUGCUAUGAUGUAGUCCAGGAUCUCCUCAGCUGGUGUUUCACAAAAAAGGCACCAAGAUGGUCUCAACAAACAGAAUGGGGGAGAAAUAGCAGUGACAGGAACAGGAGGAGGAGGAGGAGGAGAAAGAUGAUGUUGAAGAGGAAGAGAAACAAGAAAAGGAACAAUACCCUUAAUUCUUACCACACCCUAAUCUUCUGUAUAUUUUUGAUCCCCUUUCACUAUAAAAUAAAAUAAUCUUCUAACA
rnacentral:lncRNA from 1 species